AACGAACGCUGGCGGCACGCCUAACACAUGCAAGUCGAACGGGGCAGCAAUGCCUAGUGGCGGACGGGUGAGGAAUACGUAGGAAUCUGCCCUUAAGUGGGGGAUAACCAGGGGAAACCCUGACUAAUACCGCAUGAUCUCUUCGGAGCAAAGAGGGGGACCGCAAGGCCUCUCGCUUCUGGAUGAGCCUACGUCUGAUUAGCUAGUUGGUAGGGUAAAGGCCUACCAAGGCGACGAUCAGUAACUGGUCUGAGAGGAUGAUCAGUCACACCGGAACUGAGACACGGUCCGGACUCCUACGGGAGGCAGCAGUGGGGAAUAUUGGACAAUGGGCGCAAGCCUGAUCCAGCAAUGCCGCGUGUGUGAAGAAGGCCUUCGGGUUGUAAAGCACUUUAGCCUGGAAAGAAAAAACUUUGGUUAACACCCAAAGUCUUGACGGUACCAGGAGAAUAAGCACCGGCUAACUCUGUGCCAGCAGCCGCAGUAAAAC
rnacentral:rRNA from 1 species